AUGUCGCAGUCGGACUUGACGCAAAACACACUGGCCGUAGAGGAACGAGGUCCGGCGAGGGUGGCGACACUGCUAGUGGAGGACGGCGUGGGCGUAGAAGGCGGGGGCGCGAGGAGACGAAGCAGAGGACGGGGAGGCCGGAGGAGCUUCUGCGGGAGCUCGGGACGGAGUUGGUGGCAUGCGAGGCGGCAGAGGAGACACACAUCAGGGACGAAGAGGCAGGGGCGUCUGACGCAAGGCGGCCGAAGGCGCGGGUGUCGGGGUUCCUCCCUUGUGCUGUGGUUGCGGGAGCUCGAGCCUUCCUAG
rnacentral:rRNA from 1 species